rnacentral:tRNA from 1 species
CUCGCGGCCGCAGGCGCUGGCCUCCCCAGCUGAACCCGCUUGAGGAUCCCCGGACCCUGCGGCGUUUGAGUCCGCGGACCCGGGUAGACGCAGCCGGCCCCGGUCCUUUCGCUCUGCCGCCAGCGCCGGCGGGGCCGAGCGGGCGGCAGCGUGGACCGGGGGCCAAGACCCUGCGGCAGACUGGCGGCCGCCGCGUCCGGAGGUGAGGGCCGCGGAGCCGGGUGUGGCGGCGGGGACAUCACCCCAGGGGCAGGCCUGUCACCUCAGAGCCGUUGUGACUUCGCGGUUGCUCGGAUUUUGCGUGCGCGCGGGGAGGUAGUGCCCUUUUCCGAGAAGGGAACGUCUCCAGGGUGCUGGAGGCGUGGGGGAGUCGCAGGGGGUAGGGCCAAGCUCAAGGCGGUUUCCCCUGCGCUGCACUUGCACGGGGGUCCACGCGGGUUGGUCAACCGGUAGGUGGUGUUCAAGUCCUGGGCUGAGAGGGAGGGAGGCUGGGCCAAACUGGUUGGUUGGUAAGAGGGUGGCUCCGCCAGUACCACUGUUUCUCCAAGCUCUGCUCCAACUAGGGAAACUUGUGAUUGGAAACAGCCAGAGUGGCUGAGUCCCGGGCAGGGAGCCACCCUGGCACGCAUCACCUCCCCAACCACUGGCCUCUACCUCCUGCCCAGCCCAGUCCAAAGGAGGAAUUCCUGACCACCCACCAAAGCGCCAGGAGCCCCUGUUCUCGUCCACUACAGGGCCUCCAGCUCUGCAGCCAAGAGGAAGCUGGGGCUUUUGGCAUAGGCAGAGCUGAGGGUAGGGCUGGGAAGAGGGACAGACCUGAGCCUACCACCUAGUGUCCUAUGCUGGAGAUUCACAGGUCUGAGGUCAGACCAUAGGCUGGACUUAGCCACUGGAAAGCUUCUGGAUCUGUGGAAGGGGCAUGCCCUACAAGUGCUCAUUGGUGGCACUUGGGAGCUGCAGGGUCUACCUGCUCACUCACCUGUCCUGUACUGCCCCUCAGGUGUUCCUAACACAACAGAGCUGGCUGAGCUUGCCACUGGUGCAGAACUGAGGACAUCAUCCCGAGGAGCUGAGGCUCCAGGUGCUCUCCUGAGGGUGGCUGCCAUGCCACUGCCUCAAACUCUGGGCCUCCUUAGGCUCUAAAGAAGAGAAUGAGGAGGAAGCCAAGGCCCAUCCCUGACCCUGCAGCAAGGCUGGCAUGUGCACAUACAUGAAGCGCUGUGCCCACUGGUGGUAGUGAGCACUGAGUGUCUGCUUGGGGCACGGUACCUGCCAUAUGAUCCGCAGAGCUGAGCAGUCGCACCCUGGAGAGAGUGACACAAAUCUGAGUCCAUGAUAUCUGUCCACAGUGACCUGUCUCUGUAAGCAUCCUGGGCUUCCAGUGGGGCUAGCCUAUACAGUGCUCAGAGUUGGUGCAAUGCCCACUCUCUAGGCUGGCACAGGUGCAGGUGUGAGGGAGGGUGGUUCCAACCAGGCACUAAGAGGGGCAGCUAGCCACAGGCCACAUCCAGCAUUCUAAGACCAGCUCCUCCUCAUCUGGGGUCAGUGGUAAGGAUAUGCCAAAAUGACCCCCUGUGGCCCUAUCACAUUCCCUAGGAUCAAGCCCUGGAGUGGGGGUGCCCAUCAGGCAGUCUGUUGCUGAUCAGUAUCCCUGAUGUGCCCACCCAGUUGUACUAGCACAUCUACCCCCAGGGACCUCCUGUUCCAAUGGGUUGAGCCGGUACCCCCACAUCUCCCUGAGUAGCAGCCCUGAAGGCUGGCCCCUAGGCAUGAUGAGGCUGUUUUGGGGGAGUAGAGGGCACAUAGUUAUUCUCAGGGCAGAACACAGGGGGCCUCUGAAAACCAGACAGGUCUGUAGCCAGCAGCCCAGGCCUGGGUGGUAUCUCCUGGGAACGGUCCCAGACUGGGGCAAGGAGUCUCAGGGAUUAUGGGUCCAUGGCCCAAUGAUGAGUAGUGUCUGGGGCUGCAUUUGGUAAGUGGCCCCCUCCCCAUCCUGCCCUGCUGAGCCUCCUCCAAAGGCAUUUGCCCAGUGUCAAAUUGGAGGUUUUGAUUGUGAGGCUCACGCACUUACACCCUGGAUGUGGCUUUCUGGGGCAUGGUGCUGCUGCUGUUCAAGGACCUGAUCCACCUAGUGGUGAGUGCCAGGGAGGGGAGGUGAAGGGAGAGUCUGGGCUGGGGACUGGAGUUCUGUCUGCUGGAGGAAGUGGCAGUGCCCUCAAGGCUGGGGCUUUGCCUGUGUCCGAGACCCCAGGCCACAGGAACGCAGGGAACUGUGGGUACACCAUACACCAAGGAAGAGGCUUUGAAGAGGAUCAUUGUUCCUUUGCUGUCUCUAGAACUGGUUCCUGCUCGGAUCCAAGGAUAGGGCCAGGGCCUUUCCAGGAACACUCUGCCUUGCAGGACUUUCCAUGCUGCACGAUGUCCUGGGUGACUUCACUCUGGCACUACCAGCCCUGUCUGCCCAGUGCUUUGUUUUUUGUUUUGGGUUUUUUUUUUUUUGUCUGUCUGUCUGUUUUUUUCCUCCUUCAGUGCUGGGAGCGGAACUCAGGGCCUUGUGCGUGCUAUGCAAGUAUAUAUUUUCACUUUUUUUUUAAGCUCAUUUUUUUAGUUCCAGAGAUUAAACCUAGUGGGACUUAACCACUGAGCCACAUCCCCAGCCCAUUUUUUUCUUACUUUGAGACAGGGUCUCACUUAGUUGCUGAGUCUGGCUUUGAACUUAAGAUCCUCCUGCCUCAGCCUCUUGAUUCUCUGGGAUUAGAGGCUUAUGCCACCAUGCCUGGCUCCUUUUUAUUUUUAAUUUUGAGACAGGGUCUCUCUGAGUUGACCAAGUUUGCUUCAAACUUGUGAUUCUCCUACCUCAGCCUUCUAAGUGGAUGGGAUUACAGGCCUGCGCUACAGUCCUGAGAAAAUCCCCACACACAGUGGUGCCCCCAAUUCCUCCUCUUUUUUUUUUUAAAGAUUUAUUUUUUAAUCGUAGUUGGACACGAUACCUUUAUUUUAUUUAUUUUUAUGGGGUGCUGAGGAUUGAACCCAGGGCUUUGCACAAGCUAGGCAAGUGCUCUACCGCUGAGCCACAACCCCAGCCCCCCAAUUCCCCUCUUUAAUGACCAGGUGACAACCAGGUAGAUUGUCUGGGAAGAGGUCUGCCUCGAGGCCAGAGGAAGCCCUUGGGGUGGCCCAGUGCCCACACAGCUCUUUUCCCUUGAGGGAUCAGGCUUAGGCUGUGGUGCGGCUGGGCUGGGCUGGGCUGGAGUGUGAAGAUGUAAACACCAGCACCUGUGAGUGGAUCAGACCAAGCAGUGAGUGACAGCCCCCAGCACAGGUUAUGGUACAAGCUGCCAGCACCUGCAGUGGUACCCACAGUACCACACAGGAUAGCUGAUUGUACUGUUUGCCCUGCUGGCAGGCCUGGCCAGAAGAUGAACAACAUGUGGGUGGUAGUGUUUGUGGCCCUUGAUGGGGUGAUAGACCAGGAGGCAGGCCCCAGUGCUCAGGACAUCAGGACAGGGAACAUGCCUCAUGCUUCAGGGUGCCAUGAGGCUGCAGGGUGGUGGAACUUACCUCCUGCCCCUGACCCACGCACCUAGGAUGGGGUCCAGGAAGAUUGGGGAAGCAAUGCCUGCAUCGCUGCAAGGUGUGCUCCUAUCAAGGAGCCUCAGAUAGAUCCUUGAUCCGGAAGGCACGGCCCUGCUCAGCUCAGCAGCCCUCCCUGCGUGGGCCAAGACACCAGGCAGGACAUGUCCAGGCAUUCAGAGACAGGUCACUGAGAUGCUAGAGAGGAAAAUAGUGGGCCCACAUACCUGUUAUGGACUCAUCACACAAGGUGGUGGGGCUCAGAUCACAUAGAACCUGGUAGGGUGUAGCUUGGGGCCUCUCUGACUGCGCCCAGCCAAUGGACACCUCUGUCCCUGAAGUUAAUGCUCCCCACCUUGGUUUUCUUGUUUCCUGGGUUUCUUUCUGUGAUUGACCAUACGUGUGUAUGCUUAUACACUCAGUGUUUUUCCACACCUGGUAUUUGUUUAGACCUUAAGUCAUUCUGUAAUAAAACUAAUUUAAAACCAGC